UACGUAGGGGGCAAGCGUUGUCCGGAAUCAUUGGGCGUAAAGCGCGUGUAGGCGGCCAAACAGGUCCGUUGUGAAAACUGGAGGCUCAACCUCCAGACGUCGACGGAAACCGUGUGGCUAGAGUCCGGAAGAGGAGAGUGGAAUUCCUGGUGUAGCGGUGAAAUGCGCAGAUAUCAGGAAGAACACCAAUGGCGAAGGCAGCUCUCUGGGACGGUACUGACGCUGAGACGCGAAAGCGUGGGGAGCGAACAGG
rnacentral:rRNA from 1 species